AAAGCAAAAGACCAGCCAACCAAGGAAGUUGAGCAAUGUAUCAUGAUGCCUGACGGCCCAGCAGUUGCAGGUGCCAAUUGGCUCCUUUUUAUUAUGGUAUCUGUCAUAGUGAUUGGACUCAUCCUGUUGUUUGAAGUUGUCAGAGUCUUCUUCAAAUACCGCACACAGCCAAACCCACCGAAAACCUCCUUUCCGCAUUCACUGACAUUUCUGAAUCUAGAACCAAAUGGGAAUCCUUCUGUUCUGAGUCCCGACUUUCACUUGGAAGAGGAUUGCAU